rnacentral:rRNA from 1 species
UUUCCGUAGGUGAACCUGCGGAGGGAUCAUUACACAAUACAAUAUGAAGGCCGUCCGCAGCUGGAUUAUUUUAUUACCCUUGUCUUUUGCGCACCCGUUGUUUCCUGGGCGGGUUCGCCCGCCACCAGGACCACCAUAUAAACCUUUUUUAUGCAGUUGCAAUCAGCGUCACUACAAACAAUGUAAAUCAUUUACAACUUUCAACAACGGAUCUCUUGGUUCUGGCAUCGAUGAAGAACGCAUCGAAAUGCCAUACGUAGAGUGAAUUGCAGAAUUCAAUGAAUAAUCUAAUCUUUGAACGCACAUUGCGCCCUUUGGUAUUCCAAAAGGCAUGCCUGCUCAAGCGUCAUUUGGACCCUCAAGCCUUACUUGGAGUUGGGCGUGUUUUUGUUUGGUCGCCCAAAGACUCGCCUUAAAGUGAUUGGCAGCCGGCCUUUCUGGUUUCGCAGCGCAGCACAUUUUUGCGCUUGCCAUCAGCAAAACGGCAAUCCAUCAAGCCUCCUUCUCACGUUUGACCUCGGAUCAGGUAGGGAUCCCCGCGGAACUUAA